UCCGUAGGCGGGCGUCUAAGUCAGUGGUGAAAUCUUGCAGCUCAACUGUAAAAUUGCCAUUGAUACUGGAUGUCUUGAAUUAGUGUGAAGUGGUUAGAAUGUGUAGUGUAGCGGUGAAAUGCAUAGAUAUUACACAGAAUACCAAUUGCGAAGGCAGAUCACUAACACUAUAUUGACGCUGAGGGACGAAAGCGUGGGGAGCGAACAGGAUUAGAUACCCUGGUAGUCC
rnacentral:rRNA from 1 species